CGCAGUUCUUGUCGUCCAUAGCCAUUCGCAUGCAUUUUCAAUAGUACGGCAGUGAUAUCGUUGGCGAUCGGGUGGAACCGCGGGGAGUUACAGGUGAAGAGCGCACAGGUUGAGUCUCCAGACUCUCCACCUCAGUCUCUCUUUAACACGAUGAGCCAGCAAUCAGGUACGUUCUCCAGAAGAGGGAGGUAUCACUGCUUGGUCAGCUGACAGCUGCCGAAGCAAACUGGUGCUGAGAAACGCCGAACCUCUUAUUUUUAAUUAAGUGGAAUCUUAAUAAACCGAGUAGAUAUUUGAGUUCAACAAACCUACAUUCUACAUCCUAAAAACAUCCUAAAGUUUAUUGGGGGUCACAGGAAGCAUAUUAUUUACGUUUUUAUUCACAAUUUUUUUGCCACCAUUGUCCACCAUUACUGCCCGAGCUCGACCAAUCGAUUACACCUCCAAUGAAUCAUGGGAAAUUGUGGGUCACGGACUAUAAAACUUUGCUGUCGCACCGGGGCUGCUGCCGUAUUCCGAUCUAAUGGAAGUAACAAAAAUUACACUGUGAACACGAUGAAUGAUAAAACUGAAGUGGUAAAAAUGGAGCUGCCAAAAUCAAGGCACUGAAUGAAAACAGUCCAAACUAAACAAAGUCCUGUUGAACCCCACGUGGCUCUAGUUUGACUGCCAGUUCUUGAUGCUUACGCUCUGCAGGGAAAAGAAGCAUUAGCACCACGGCCUAGAAAGUGGCUGCUUAUAAGACCAGGGACUCAUGCAUGCCCUCCUCAGAGAUGCAAAGCCUCCCCUAAUCACAGGUCCAUCUUCAAUUACUCAAUGGACCACCCCUCCAGUUUCCAGAUGGUGCUGGAGUUUCUCAGGUGUGCUGGGUGACAGGGGCAACUGAUCUGAUGAUUGCAUUGGAGGAGUAUUUAAGCAGGAGGCUGCCAGCACUUCAAUGCCAGAUUGUUUGCCUUCUGCGGCAGAAACCUGAACCUUUUGAUCAUUCUUUGUUGAAUUUUAACUUCGGUUCCAGAGGUUUCUGGACGAUCAAGAUUACCUAUGUUUGGUGGAUUUCGUUUCCAAGUACCAAGCUGGCAGCUUCCUGUUAUCCUCUGUCUCCUGAACCAAGGCAGAAGCGUACCCUGUCCACCCUCCAAAGCAAGUACCUGAACAUUGAAUUAACUCCUGAACUCACCAGAACUCACUCUACAGCUCAAGUAAAAUCAUCUGGAUUUCUCUGCACACGUGGGUCCCGACUCCCACUACCCCUGGCGACCUGACUACAUUCACCUAUUGGUGAUUCUACCGUUCACGUUCCAGUUUCACUUCUUCUAAAUAAAAGGCCUUUUAUUGA